rnacentral:lncRNA from 1 species
CUCUCCUCUCUCCCCUCCUCUUCACUCCCUGCACCUCCCUUCCCCCUCUUUCUUCUUCCCUUGACUCCAGCCCCCGGUCGGCUGCCUAUCUCCCGAUGCCCCCUGGACAGCUGUGCAGAGCCCUGAGCGACCCCUUCGGCCCGGAGCCGUCGCCUCCCCACGCAGCCCGUCCCUCCUAAGCCAGCGCUGGGCUGAGCGUGGCCGCGCCGCUGUGGACCCCCCAGCCCCGCCGGGAAAACUCCCCUCGCUCCUCUCUCCCUGCUGCGACCGCCACCCUCAUUUCAUUUGAAUAGAAAACGGGAAAAGUUCCUUCUCGGUCACCCACAGCCUUCCCCUAACUAGGGGGCGUCAGCCUCCUCCAGCUGCGCCCGGAGCUGAAAUGGCGAUUUUAUUUCUGUCCUGUAUGGGGCCGGACCGAGGAUUACCCCGCCACAAGCUAUCUGCUGGAUUCAGCAGUUUCGUCCCCUCCCCGCUUGUGUGAAUUGCUACAGGGAGUGUGGGAAAGGCGGGAGGGGAAGGGGGCUGUGGGCAUCCUCUGGAUCUGCGGAGCAGGGAAGGGCUGCCUUGGCCGCCCCCAGUUCUCCUGGGCUCCUCCAUUGGGAAUGGGGUUGGCGGCUGGGGGAGGAGGCUCAGAUGCCGUGGUCCUGGCCCUGGGUGCAGGUCGCCUUUGGAAGCAAGUGUCAAAGCCAGCCGGAGCAUGUGCUAUUGUUUCGUUGGAAGUGAGUUCCAAGCCACCGCUUUCCAUCUGUUAAGUGUCUGGGUGCUGCUUAUUGAGAGAGUCUGGUGCACCCAGGCUCCUCCCUCCCCUUCGGGCCUGCUGGAGCCGGCCAGCCAGUGCCAGGGCCAGUGGUCACUUCCUCUCCCUCCCCUGGCCAGCCUGGUCUCCACCUGGUGGACGGUCACAGGCUUUACAGACACCCCCAGGGCCAUCUGGAGCUCUGGUGGCAGCUGGGGUCCUGGGGAAGGUGAGAGCUCCUUGCCUGUCCGUGGGGGUGGCAUCAUCCUGUGAGGUAAGUGAUCGUCCUCAGCCUUUGGCCAGUCCAUCCUGUGUCACUUUAUGUCCCCCCACCUGCUCUCAUGGCGGGGGGCACGCUCUCAAAUAACAACGGCUUGGAACUCGGUACCUUGGCACCCCCUGCCCACAGCUCCAGUGGAGUCCGUGUCAGAGCUUUGGCACCAUGAGUUGUGCUUUUCAAGUGACAGGAUGAGAAGGGGACAGCCUGGAGGCCUUUGGGGUGGGGAGACCCAGCUGGGUGGUUACAGCGGGCCAGCUGACUCGCCAUGGGGAUACUGUGUCCCCGGCUCAUUGAAGUGAGCACUAUUACUAGUAGUUCAAUUUGUUGUCAAAUGUUCCGAUGCUAUUUGGGCUAAUCCAGAGAUCGUGCUGUUGGGACCGCCUGUGCUGCCUGGCAUGGAGUUCUUACCAGCAGAUGGCUCAUUGGCUUGGCACUUAGUUAUUCUCCAUCCCUUAUUGUCAUCUGGCCUAGUCUUCUGUAACCAUUUCCUCCAAGAGCCCCAGAAGGACGAGUGCCCGCCCAUGGGGGGUGGUUCUGCAGGGCAGUUCCCCAGGAGGGUGGAGGGUGUGGCUCUGAGACUCUGUGUGCGUCCAGCACCAGUGCAGGCUGGCCCCUCACACUGCCUGGCUGAUUCUGUGCUCAGGAGAAUAAUCGCAUCUAUAAUUACUUUGCACUUUUAGGAGCUGGACUGGACCCCUGUGUAGAUACUGGAUCGAUGAGGCCUCAGCAGCUGCCUAGAGAGGAACCCUUUCCUCUCCCAGAUCCCCAUGGAGCAGUGCGGUCUUCCAUUCGUCAACAAUCUCAUUACUGCGUGUUGGGUGCUGUUCUGGGCACUGGGAAUUCAGUAGUGAACAGAAUAAGCAGAGAUCCCUGGCCUGAAGAAGCUGGCAUUCUCUGGGGAAGACAGACACGAUGCCCUUCAAGGGGUUGCAUGAUCCCAUGCACACAGGGAGGCAUCUGCUCGCCACAGUCCACCACUGCAAACGCUGGUCUCAGCCAGAGGCACCUCACAGACUCCCCCAGAAACAGCGCAUCCCCAGCUAUUGGGCAUCCCGGGCUGGCCAGGUGGACACACAGACCUCACCAGUGCAGUCAUGCUCGUUGGUCCUGAACAGCCUUGGUGGGGAAGGUUCCAGAAGUGGCGCCUGCUCUGUGCCCCCCACAUCAGCCCCAGGGUCUCCUGGUAUCCUAAACCUACAUCCCUGCUCCUGGCCCGGCUGUCGGGAAUGCAGCCAAUGUUCGUUCCUCAGAAUCAAGAUAAAAACGAAGGGAACCUCCUGCCUCUGCCAGGCAGGCCGCAGGCCAGGCUGGGGACCCCGGGUGGGGUCGAGGCUGGGGAGCCUGGGUGGGGAUGAGGCUGGGGACCCUGGGUAGGGUCGAGGCUGGCCACCCUGGGUGGGGUCGAGGCUGGGGACCCUGGGUGGGGACGAGGCUGGAGACCCUGGCUGGGGUCGAGGCUGGGGACCCUGGGUGGGGUUGAGGCUGGGGACCUUGGGUGGGGAUGAGGCUGGGGACCCUUGGGGGGACGAGGCUGGGGACGCUGGCUGGGGUCGAAUGCCUCCUCAGCUCAGGCCUUGGGUCUUUGGGGAACGUGGUGACUGAGUUCAUAUAUGCAUGAGCGACGUUUCCAACUGUCUGGAAACUUCAGACAGAGUGUGAGAUUCUGCCCGUGUGUCACAGGGAAGGAGGCUGGAGAUGGAGGAGAUUCUGGAGGUACCAAGCCCCCGCGCUCCCAAGAGCCGAGUGGGUCCAGCCUCUGCCUCCACUCUCUGCCCAGACUGCACUUUCUUCUGGUACCUUCCAGGGUGCACACAGGCUCAUUCCUGUAUGCAGAGCUCCCUCUUUAAUUCCCAAAAAGAUCACACCAAAGGAGAGUUUCAAAUUAGGGCAUCAGAGCCAAAUUGAAGAUUGGAGGAGCUGAGUCCGGAAGAAGGGCCAAGACUGCGGAGUGAGGAGCUGGUUGCUGGUUCCCAGGUCCCUGGCCAGCUCACCGUCUCCAGCAAGAAAGGGACAAGCGAAGGCACAUGAGGAGAAGAGAAGGGUCUGGCCUAUCCUUGAAGAGUGAUCACCUUCCCACGAGAUUGGAAUACUGGGAAGGAAAGUCCGAGCACCCCGGGAAAGUCUAAAGGGGGUUCCCAAAGGCAAAAGAAGGUGUCCAGGCAGCGUGUCCUGCCACGGCCAGCAGCUCCCAGCAUGUGCUCUAGCCGUCCUGGCCUGGCGGGUCAGAGCCAUGGUCAGUGGCAGCUACUGAACCAUUGCCCGUGGGCAUCAUCUGCCUGUUCUCUCUUGGGUCUAACCAGCAUUUCUCGUGACUAUUCUGAAAAGACUCCAGUCACUUCCUCCACCACCUCUUCCGAGCUGGGGGUGGUGCAGGGGGUUGGGGAAAAAUCAGUUCAUCAAACAAGCAAAAUGUAUUCAGCGCCUGCUUGCUGUAGACCAGGCACUGGGCAGGGCUUGUGAAACGGAAUUGGAGCCCUCUGGACCCUGGAAACCUUAUGGGAGAGAGUUAAAAUAAAUCAGACAGGCAGAGGUAAGGCACUUUACCUUCCGAAAGGUGCACCAUUGAACACCAAGAGGAAUCAGCCUGUCUUGUACGUGUAUAAUGAACCUGCCACGACGAGCUCUUCAGGAUAACCACUGGGCGGGAUGCACCAAGAAUCAGAGAAAGGGGGUGCCCUUUGACCUGAAGAGGCUGGCAUUCUCUGGGGGAGACCGACAAGAUGGGAUCAAUAAAUAGACGGGCAGAUGGUCUGCCCUUGACUUUUGUGCAAAAGGAGAAGACACUGGCACAAAGAUCUCACUUCCGUGUCUGUUGUAGUAGUAUUUGAUUUAUAUACCCUCCACCUGUUUCUUUUUAUGGUCUUGGUAAUUGCAAAAUUAUUACUAGUUGUAAAUAUUUCAAACAAUGUGGUAGAAAAGGCAAAGUCCCUCUUCUAGUAGAGAAAAUGGAGGCCGGGCACAGUGGCUCAUGCCUGUAAUCCCAGCACUUUGGGAGGCCGAGGAGGGCAGAUCACAAGGUCAAGAGAUUGAGACCAUCCUGGCCAACAUGGCGAAACUACAUCUCUACUAAAAAUACAAAAAUUAGCUGGGCGUGGUGGCGCGUCCCUGUAGUCCCAGCUACUCGGGAGGCUGAGGUAGGAGAAUCACUUGAACCUGGGAGGUGGAGGUUGCAGUGAGCCGAGAUCGUGCCAUUGCACUCCAGCCUGGGCGACAAGAGUGAAAUUCCACCUCAAAAAAAAAAACAAAAACAAAAACAAAAAGAAAAUGGAGACCCACCCCUUCUCACCAUGGACCAGCAGGCCCCUGAUGCCUGUGUGCUUCCGACUCCUGGCCAGCUCCUCGUGUGAUGGGCGUUUGGAUUUUCCCAAUAUGUUGUUGUUGUAAACAGUGUGAACGAACACCCAUAUCCAUAUCCUUUGUUGGUUGUGUUGCUAUUCUUCAGAAUUGAUUUUUGGAAGUAAGAUUUAUGGGUAAAAGUGUUUUUUUGUUUUUGAGAUGGAGUCUCGCUCUGUUGCUCAGGCUUGAGUGCAAUGGGGCCAUCUCGGCUCACUGCAACCUUCACUUCCUGGGUUCAAGUGAUUCUCCUGGCUCAGCCUCCCCGAGUAGCUGGGAUUACAGGCAUCUGCCACCAUGCCCAGUUAAUUUAUGUAUUUUUAGUAGGGACGGGGUUUCACCAUGUUGGUCAGGCUGGUCUUGAACUCUUGACCUCAGGUGAUCCUCCUGCCUGGGCCUCCCAAAGUGCUGGGAUUACAAGCGUGAGCCACUGCGCCUGGCCAAAAGUGUGUUUUUUACACCUUUGUGUGCUAGUAAAAGCAUAUUUACAUUAUUUUGCCAAAUUGCCCUCUGAAUUGGUUAUACCAAUUUAUUAUACUCCCAUCAUCAUAACACGAGAGGAUCCUUUCACCACACUUUCAACAAAGUAAGAGAGACUUAGUCUUGUUUAUUUUUUCCAGUGUAGGGAGGGAAGGAUCUUGUUUUGAUUUUCAUUUCUGUGUUUAUAAGCGAGACAAGAUGUUGCUUGUGUCUACUACCUGCUUGUGUCUUGCCAGUGAAUUCAUAUUCUUUGCCCUUUUUUCCAUUUUAACAUCUUCUUCUUAUUGAUUUUUACAAGCGCCGUCUAUGUAAAGGAUAGUAACCCAUUGGCUGUUAUGUAUUUUGCAACUAUUUUCUCCAAGUCUGUGGCUUGUCUUUUAACUUUCCUCAUGUAAGUAAUCAAAACUGUGCCACUUUUCCUGUAGGUAUUCUGGGUUUCUCAUCAGCCCAGAAAGGAGGCAUCAUUUAUAAUAGAAAAUUAAAAUGAAAAAAGUAAGAAAGAAGUGACCUAGAUUUCCCCAGGUUGGGAAAGGAAACUGGCAUGCUUACAGAGGGGAGCAUUGAGGACGGUGACUAUGACGAGGGGACAGAGGCCGAGGGAGAGGCUUCUGCCACGUCUGGUGACUGCAGAGACGGCAGGGGCAUUUGCACGCUGGCCGCCUGUCCAUGUGCACCCACGGCCCACUUGUUGAGUGCAUGCCACCUGCAGGCCUGGCCAUCCACCCGCGCACAGAGCCGCCCCGCCCCACUGAGCUUGCACGCCAGCAUCAGGCUUUGUGAAAUCCAGCAGAGUUGAAAUGAUUUGGGAUAUGAAGUGUUUA